CGUAACAAGGUCUCCGUAGGUGAACCUGCGGAGGGAUCAUUACACAAAUAUGAAGGCGGGCUGGAACCUCUCGGGGUUACCGCCUUGCUGAAUUAUUCACCCUUGUCUUUUGCGUACUUCUUGUUUCCUUGGUGGGUUCGCCCACCACUAGGACAAACAUAAACCUUUUGUAAUUGCAAUCAGCGUCAGUAACAAAUUAAUAAUUACAACUUUCAACAACGGAUCUCUUGGUUCUGGCAUCGAUGAAGAACGCAGCGAAAUGCGAUAAGUAGUGUGAAUUGCAGAAUUCAGUGAAUCAUCGAAUCUUUGAACGCACAUUGCGCCCUUUGGUAUUCCAAAGGGCAUGCCUGUUCGAGCGUCAUUUGUACCCUCAAGCUUUGCUUGGUGUUGGGCGUCUUGUCUCUAGCUUUGCUGGAGACUCGCCUUAAAGUAAUUGGCAGCCGGCCUACUGGUUUCGGAGCGCAGCACAAGUCGCACUCUCUAUCAGCAAAGGUCUAGCAUCCAUUAAGCCUUUUUUUCAACUUUUGACCUCGGAUCAGGUAGGGAUACCCGCUGAACUUAAGCAUAUCA
rnacentral:rRNA from 1 species